ACAGUCAGGAGAAGAUGCUGGAUGACGACCACCGCAUCGCUCAGGACGUAUCGCGCGCCAGCAUCAAGGCUUCACAUGACAAGUGCAGCGUCAUGUGAGGUGCGUCAUGUGAGAGAUGCAGUGGCUGCCGCGGCCAUCCUUCCAGUCUACCGUCCUCUCUUCCUCCUCUGCUUAUUAAUUGAACUAGUUAGGGCAUUUCAGUUCACUUUAUGUACGACGUUAAUGUAGAUUUAUACUUGCUAUUGAGUUGUUAUUGUUUAUAUUUAGGGAUCUAGUAUGAAAACUAGUAGGAAUUCCCCCAUAAAUCCUAGUUUGCAUGGUAAAUCGUAGGUAAAUGGGGCCCACUGGUUAGUAAAUGGGGCCUGCAUCUCACCCGUUCUGUACGCCAUGCUUGAUUGUGCGCUCCAAAUGAACUCUAGUUAAAAUGACUGCUAAAAUUCUCCACACGUGGAGAAUGAAUUAUUCUCGUCGAGUCAUAUGUAGUACGUACGUAGGUAUGAUUGUCAAUAAUACUGAAAAACUCGUGCAGCACGUGCCAAACAACUGCUUCAUGUUAGUCAUUUCAAUCGUUGUGAAGUGCGAGAUGACAAUCGUACGUAGGUGACCAGAAGUAAUUUCGUUUAAUCGUUUCAUAAAAUUUCUGGGUUUUUCUCUUGAACACUUAACAUAAAAAGCGCAUCCUGCGACGGUUCUAAAAAUUGCGUAUUUUGUGUUUAGAGGCAAAAUUAAAAAUAUCAGUUUUUGAAACAUUACGAGACUAAUUUGACAUCUCGUAUGGGUAAGACAUUGAGCGUUUUCCACACGUUUCACAGCUCGUGAUGACGAGAGGUAUUUAUUCAUUGUUAUUUUAAGUGCACGUUUGGCUUGUCGCCUGACGAUUCGUUCCAGAUUUCUCCAGAAGACAAAAAUUUUGAGGAAAAUGAUCGCAAAUUUUGUGUUUCAAGUCUACAAUUGAUGAUCAAAUCAUGAAUUUGAACAGCGUUUGGCUCAUGUAGUUCCGAUGGCAUUAUGGUUUAAGGCAUCGUGCGCCUGAUCUCAGUCUGAUUUGGUGUUGAGUUAAAUUUUACAUCAUUAAUUGUCAUAAACAAUCAAUAGUGAUAAAUCUAUAGAAGAUGCUGAAAUAGCAUAAGAUUUGCUCUUUCAGUGACAGUUUCUAUUUUAUCUCGAUUUCGAAUGAUGUUUUGCUCUACGUUACCUAUUUAAACUAGUCUUUAUUUUUGCUCUACCAUUUAAUUAUCGAACAUGACAGAAUGUCCUAUUAUGCUUACGGUAGUUUGUUUUAAUCUCUGAGAAGUUGUUGAGCCAAAGGAAUAAUGUGGGUGCCAUCUAUCCUCUAGUCUUCAUUUUGUUUGGCGGUAAUUCUGUCGUGAUAGAACUUAAUCAAUCAAAUGUUAAUUUCAUGUUCCUUACCUCAACGCGAAUCUCAUUAUAUCUACUGCAUGUUUACGGUCGUAUAAGUUAUCUUAAUUUCUUAUCCUCUUUUCCUCCCUCUAUUUACUUUCCGUAUUUUCGUAUUUAGACGGGGAAAUGAUACCAUGUUCGUAUUUUUUUCGGCAUGUUCUGCGUUGCAAAAUUUUUUCAGAAUUCACCUAGAUUUCGAUUGAUUCCGCAGAUAGUUGAAAUCCCGGGAUUAUUUUGUCAAAGUCUGUACAGUAACUAUAUUAAUGAGUUAUCACACAAGCAUAAUGAAGUGUACAUAUAAAUUUGGUGAUGUUUCGUUCACAAUAUUUACUUAGAGCUUGAAAUGUUUCCCACCUACUGUGCUGUGAAUAGCUUGACGAUCGAAGAAUACCUUCCACAAGUUCGUAGUCUUAAGGAAGCGUGAAAAGUUACCAUAUGUUGAUAUUGUAGACGUUAUAUCAACGGCCAUGAAUCUCUACUUGUCUAGUUAAUAAUUUUCAACAUACUUCCACGAAUGGACUAAAGCUAUAAGCUAAAAUCGCAUGCGUUUUUCAUCUGUUGCCUGCAUGGGCUGGCAUUAUAGAAGGUGGUUUCGUGUGCUAUUGCUUAAAGGAAAUCAUUUUCUUAAAUUUUUAACGAGACUCGCUCUAGCCCAUGACAUUAUCCGUUUGUUGAAUCCUAGUAAUAGAGAUUCACGAUACGCUAAAAAAAUUUGUUGUUAAUUAAAGAUAUGAUGACCAUGAUUUGUAUCAGGAAGGGAUUUACUCGUUAUAGAUGCGGUGUAAUUUUCGACGGUGUGUUCAGUAAACCUUGAACAGAGAUUCUAGCGUAGCGUAAGUACCUGUACUCUAGCAGUAGCAUAAUUAGUGCGUGUACUCUUUCUAUUGUGAGCUUUGUAUUUGCUCUCAGAUUGUAUCCAUAUUUUACUUUUCCUGAACAUCUGAUGCUAGUCGCUGGUUCAUUUUAUUUCGUUGCAUCAUUAAAUGGUGAUGCAAAACUUUCUUAAUGUAAUCCAUUAUUUUUGAUUAUUUUUUUUUUUGAGUUUAGGAUCUCUCAUUAAUAGUAAGUUUCUUUCAAAAAAUGAGUGCUACAUAAGUUGACCGAAGUUGUUGAAUGUCUCAAUUAUUUGCUGCAAAUGAGUGAGAAUUGUGAACUUUGAUCAGCAUUCAGUCGGAAACUGAAGUCGGUCAAUUGCCAUGCAGCCCGAAGCGGAGGCUGCUAAUGGAGCAAGAAUCUCUAUUGCACCCAAAAACUUGAGUUAUAAGUUCUUAUUUAUUGUAAUUAUUAUUUGUUAUUUGUCUUCUUAAAUUCCAAUUUUUAUUGUUUACAGCAGACAAAUUUGCCAUGUUUUCUCCUUUAUGAUGUCAUCAUCAUCAUUCGUGAGUUUCCCGUAUGUAUAAAAAAAUGAUCGAUUGAUAAUUUAAAUUUCGACAUCUUUUAUAUAUUUCGCAACACAAACUACCGAAGACUCAGCAGAACAUUUCACAACAUUUCAAUGAAGCGCCUUCUUCCUAGUCACAAGUUUGUUUUUCUGUUCUUGUAUUGAGUUUCUGUAGCGUUUUGUCCAUCGUAUUUUAUGUUUACUUGUAAUGCAAAGAAACGAGCUGAAUUGCGAAAUAAUAUUUAAUUAUUAUAAACGAUAAAUAAUCACUUCGGCGUGCCCAGCUUCAACUUUUAUUGCAAAUAUAGUGAUGAUCUCAGGAAUCAAUAUCAACGUUA
rnacentral:lncRNA from 1 species